UACGUAGGGGCCUAGCGUUGUCCGGAAUUAUUGGGCGUAAAGAGCUCGUAGGCGGUUCGGCAAGUCGGAUGUGAAAUCUCCACGCUUAACGUGGAGGGGCCAUUCGAAACUGCUGUGACUCGAGUCCGGUAGGGGAGUGUGGAAUUCCCGGUGUAGCGGUGAAAUGCGCAGAUAUCGGGAGGAACACCAGUAACGAAGGCGGCACUCUGGGCCGGUACUGACGCUGAGGAGCGAAAGCGUGGGGAGCGAACAGG
rnacentral:rRNA from 1 species